CGCAACUGGACGGGUGUGGGACACGUGGGACUGCGGGGAUGGAUGCGAAGGGCCCGAGCGCUGUGGUGGAGCUGAAGGGAAGAGUUGGCAGCACGUGGCAGAAGGCAACAGCAGAGAGGAAACUUCCAGCCCACGAGUUGGCUUUGCCACCGAUCGCCGACGGAGGCAAGAAGAAAGGGCAGAAGAACAAACCAGCAGCUGUGUUUGUGUCGAGGAAAACAACCCCCUUGGUGUUGAAGGCAUCAUCCCAAGAGAAGUACAGAGCAUUUAAUGAGAGGAAAUCCGUGCUCAAGGAGGCUGAGUUAGCUGGAAUGUUGGAAGAGAUGAAAAUGACCAUGCACCUGACCAAGCUGAAGACAAAAGCCAUAGAGGAGCUGAAGCAGUGCAGUGACCACCUGGCAAAGACCAACUGCAGGCUGAUGGAGGACAUCCAGCACACUGACGAUAGCACUGCCAAGCAAGCCAGAGACUUGCUACAUCAGUAUGAAGUGUAUCAGAUGAUCGAGGCAAUGACACAGACCAUCAGUCAGAACCAGCUGGAUAUGGCAAGGGCAGAGCUUCAGGAAAUGGAAAAAACAAUGGAAAAGAAUCUGGGAAGUGAGUUGCUCUCAUUACUAUGA
rnacentral:lncRNA from 1 species